UACGUAGGGGGCCAGCGUUGUCCGGAAUCAUUGGGCGUAAAGCGCGCGUAGGCCGUCAGGUAAGUCCGGUGUGAAAGUCAAAGGCUCAACCUUUGAAAGCCGAUGGAUACUGCAGGGCUAGAGUCCGGAAGAGGCGAGUGGAAUUCCUGGUGUAGCGGUGGAAUGCGCAGAUAUCAGGAGGAACACCAAUAGCGAAGGCAGCUCGCUGGGACGGUACUGACGCUAAGGCGCGAAAGCGUGGGGAGCGAACAGG
rnacentral:rRNA from 1 species